GGUAAAGCUUUUGCGGUUUGGGAUGGGCCUGCGUCCUAUCAGGUAGUUGGUGAGGUAAAUGCUCACCAAGCCUAUGACGGGUAGCUGGUCUGAGAGGAUGGUCAGCCAGACUGGGACUGCGACACGGCCCAGACUCCUACGGGAGGCAGCAACUAGGAAUUGUGCGCAAUGGACGAAAGUCUGACGCCGCGACAUCGCGCGGAGGAUGAAGGUCUUCGGAUUGUAAACUCCUUUUCUUACCGAACAAGUUCUGAGUGUAGGUAAGGAAUAAGUGCCUGCUAACCACGUGCCAGAAGCAUCGGUAAUACGUGGGGCACGAGCGUUAUCCGGAUUUACUGGGCGUAAAGAGAAGCGUAGGCGGCUCAAUAAGUUUGGUGUUAAAUCUUCCGGCUCAACCGGAAACAAGCACCGAAAACUAUCGAGAUUGAGUCGAGUAGGGAAGAGGGGAAUUCCUGGUGGAGCGGUUAAAUGCGUAGAUAUCAGGAGGAAUACCAAGGGCGAAGGCACCUCUUUGGACUCGUACUGACGCUGAGGCUCGAAAGCGUGGGUAGCAAAACGGAUUAGAUACCCGUGUAGUCCACGCCGUAAACGAUCCCUGUUAGAUGUAUGUUUUGUC
rnacentral:rRNA from 1 species